GGGAGGUAGUGACAAUAAAUAACAAUACGGGGUUCUUUCGGAUUUCGUAAUUGGAAUGAGUACAAUUUAAAUCUCUUAACGAGGAACAAUUGGAGGGCAAGUCUGGUGCCAGCAGCCGCGGUAAUUCCAGCUCCAAUAGCGUAUAUUAAAGUUGUUGCAGUUAAAAAGCUCGUAGUUGAAUUUCGGGGUUAGUAGGUUGGUCGUGCCUCUGGUAAGUACUGGCUUCACUGAUUCCUCCUUCCUGAUGAGCCGUAAUGCCAUUAAUUUGGUGUUGCGAGGAAUCUGGACUGUUACUUUGAAAAAAUUAGAGUGUUUAAAGCAAGCUAACGCUUGAAUACAUUAGCAUGGAAUAAUGAAAUAGGACGUUCGGUCUUAUUUUGUUGGUUUCUAAGAUUGACGUAAUGAUUAAUAGGGAUAGUUGGG
rnacentral:rRNA from 1 species